rnacentral:rRNA from 1 species
UACGGGGGGAGCAAGCGUUGUUCGGAUUUACUGGGCGUAAAGGGCGCGUAGGCGGUCAGCACAAGUCAGUUGUGAAAUCUCCGGGCUUAACCCGGAAAGGUCAACUGAUACUGUGCGACUAGAGUGCGGAAGGGGCAACUGGAAUUCUCGGUGUAGCGGUGAAACGCGUAGAUAUCGAGAGGAACACCUGCGGCGAAGGCGGGUUGCUGGGCCGACACUGACGCUGAUGCGCGAAAGCCAGGGGAGCGAACGGG